ACUGGCGUGGCAGAAUAUGUACCAAAUUUAAGCUUUGGGGAUAGGGCUAGUU
rnacentral:tRNA from 1 species